UGAUACCAAGCCAAACGUGUGCAUAGAGCCAUGGGGAUCGUAAAUACUGUCAAGUGGACAGCGUAUUUACAGCUCAAAACCUACGUCAAUUGUUUGAAUCAAUCAAAAGAGAACAGUUUUAUUUCGAGCUCCAAAAUUAUAGCCGCAAAAAUAGAAAAUGUGUAGGUAGGCAAACGAGACACCACCUUAAAUCAAGCCGAAACGAUUAUCACCAUUUUGUGAGUAAAGUGUGCGCUCCACAAACAGAAGGACAGCACUGAUACUCUAUAAGCAAUCGUGGAAAUAAUCCCAGAUGAUUCGUAAGCCAAUACUCUCAUGAGCACAGACAUCCUGCUCGUCGCAGAGAGCAUUUUUCUUGGAAUAACGACUGUUGUCUUUAGCAAAAUAGUCAUAAAUAAGCUGAAAAAUGGAUGCGCAGUCAGCGCGAUGUACCUCAUCUGUGAGUCUUACGAACCCAUCAGAAAAGUAUGUAUGUAUUUUUCUGAAGCAACACCAACUAAACAAUAAUUUCAUAGCAAGAAUUCGAAUGGAACUGUGGAACCUUACACUACAUUUUCUUGAAGUGUUUAAACAAGUAUCUAAUCAAAACCAGUCUAAACGUUGGCGGCACUCUUGCUGCGACACUAUACUACCUGUUACUCAGUUUUUAUGUAAAUAUGGGCAUUUCCAUGAAAAUACCCGAAUCUCGGCUAUCUUUAUAUUUUUCAACCUUUAUUAACCCAAUAAAUAUCCCUUGCAAAAGUGUAUUACUUUCAAUUAAAAAUAAA